rnacentral:rRNA from 1 species
GACGAACGCUGGCGGCGUGCUUAACACAUGCAAGUCGAACGGUAAGGCCCUUCGGGGUACACGAGUGGCGAACGGGUGAGUAACACGUGGGUGAUCUGCCCUGCACUUCGGGAUAAGCCUGGGAAACUGGGUCUAAUACCGGAUAGGACCAUGGACUUCACGGUUUGUGGUGGAAAGCUUUUGCGGUGUGGGAUGGGCCCGCGGCCUAUCAGCUUGUUGGUGGGGUAAUGGCCUACCAAGGCGACGACGGGUAGCCGGCCUGAGAGGGUGUCCGGCCACACUGGGACUGAGAUACGGCCCAGACUCCUACGGGAGGCAGCAGUGGGGAAUAUUGCACAAUGGGCGCAAGCCUGAUGCAGCGACGCCGCGUGAGGGAUGACGGCCUUCGGUUGUAAACCUCUUUCAAUAGGACGAAGCGCAAGUGACGGUACCUAUAGAAGAAGACACCGGCCAACUACGUGCCAGCAGCCGCGGU